UACGUAGGGUGCGAGCGUUAAUCGGCGUUACUGGGCGUAAAGCGUGCGCAGGCGGUUUUGUAAGACAGACGUGAAAUCCCCGGGCUUAACCUGGGAACUGCGUUUGUGACUGCAAGACUAGAGUACGGCAGAGGGGGGUAGAAUUCCACGUGUAGCAGUGAAAUGCGUAGAUAUCGGGAGGAACACCAGUGGCGAAGGCGACUACCUGGCCUGUUCUUGACGCUGAGGCGCGAAAGCUAGGGGAGCAAACGGG
rnacentral:rRNA from 1 species